AACGAACGCUGGCGGCAUGCCUAACACAUGCAAGUCGAACGAGACCUUCGGGUCUAGUGGCGCACGGGUGCGUAACGCGUGGGAACCUGCCCUUAGGUUCGGAAUAACUCCCCGAAAGGGGUGCUAAUACCGGAUAAUGUCUUCGGACCAAAGAUUUAUCGCCUUUGGAUGGGCCCGCGUUGGAUUAGCUAGUUGGUAGGGUAAAAGCCUACCAAGGCGACGAUGCAUAGCUGGUCUGAGAGGAUGAUCAGCCACACUGGGACUGCGACACGGCCCAGACUCCUACGGGAGGCAGCAGUGGGGAAUAUUGGACAAUGGGCGAAAGCCUGAUCCAGCAAUGCCGCGUGAGUGAUGAAGGCCUUAGGGUUGUAAAGCUCUUUUACCCGGGAUGAUAAUGACAGUACCGGGAGAAUAAGCUCCGGCUAACUACGUG
rnacentral:rRNA from 1 species